CAGGCUUAACACAUGCAAGUCGAGGGGCAGCAUGGUCUUAGCUUGCUAAGGCCGAUGGCGACCGGCGCACGGGUGAGUAACACGUAUCCAACCUGCCGUCUACUCUUGGACAGCCUUCUGAAAGGAAGAUUAAUACAAGAUGGCAUCAUGAGUCCGCAUGUUCACAUGAUUAAAGGUAUUCCGGUAGACGAUGGGGAUGCGUUCCAUUAGAUAGUAGGCGGGGUAACGGCCCACCUAGUCUUCGAUGGAUAGGGGUUCUGAGAGGAAGGUCCCCCACAUUGGAACUGAGACACGGUCCAAACUCCUACGGGAGGCAGCAGUGAGGAAUAUUGGUCAAUGGGCGAGAGCCUGAACCAGCCAAGUAGCGUGAAGGAUGACUGCCCUAUGGGUUGUAAACUUCUUUUAUAAAGGAAUAAAGUCGGGUAUGGAUACCCGUUUGCAUGUACUUUAUGAAUAAGGAUCGGCUAACUCCGUGCCAGCAGCCGCGGUAAUACGGAGGAUCCGAGCGUUAUCCGGAUUUAUUGGGUUUAAAGGGAGCGUAGAUGGAUGUUUAAGUCAGUUGUGAAAGUUUGCGGCUCAACCGUAAAAUUGCAGUUGAUACUGGAUAUCUUGAGUGCAGUUGAGGCAGGCGGAAUUCGUGGUGUAGCGGUGAAAUGCUUAGAUAUCACGAAGAAUUCCGAUUGCGAAGGCAGCCUGCUAAGCUGCAACUGACAUUGAGGCUCGAAAGUGUGGGUAUCAAACAGGAUUAGAUACCCUGGUAGUCCACACGGUAAACGAUGAAUACUCGCUGUUUGCGAUAUACUGCAAGCGGCCAAGCGAAAGCGUUAAGUAUUCCACCUGGGGAGUACGCCGGCAACGGUGAAACUCAAAGGAAUUGACGGGGGCCCGCACAAGCGGAGGAACAUGUGGUUUAAUUCGAUGAUACGCGAGGAACCUUACCCGGGCUUAAAUUGCAGAUGAAUUACGGUGAAAGCCGUAAGCCGCAAGGCAUCUGUGAAGGUGCUGCAUGGUUGUCGUCAGCUCGUGCCGUGAGGUGUCGGCUUAAGUGCCAUAACGAGCGCAACCCUUGUUGUCAGUUACUAACAGGUUCCGCUGAGGACUCUGACAAGACUGCCAUCGUAAGAUGUGAGGAAGGUGGGGAUGACGUCAAAUCAGCACGGCCCUUACGUCCGGGGCUACACACGUGUUACAAUGGGGGGUACAGAGGGCCGCUACCACGCGAGUGGAUGCCAAUCCCCAAAACCUCUCUCAGUUCGGACUGGAGUCUGCAACCCGACUCCACGAAGCUGGAUUCGCUAGUAAUCGCGCAUCAGCCACGGCGCGGUGAAUACGUUCCCGGGCCUUGUACACACCGCCCGUCAAGCCAUGGGAGCCGGGGGUACCUGAAGUGCGUAACCGCGAGGAGCGCCCUAGGGUAAAACUGGUGACUGGGGCUAA
rnacentral:rRNA from 1 species